UUCCCUAAAAAUAUUCCUAGAAUUUCUCCAGUUUUCAACCAUCUCGUUCUCUCCAUUUGCUUCUUUUCUUCUUUUUGUUCUUUGUUGGCUGUUAGAAAAACUCAUCUUUGUUAUUGUUUCUUUUAUUUUCUUUUUUUCCAGAUAUUUUCAUUCUUGAACUUUCAAACCGACGUUAGCCUGUUACUGUUACUGUUUUCUUGUGCUUUUGUUUGCUCUAUUACGGUCGUUCUUCCUUGAGUUUUGUGAGGACUGUGUGUAAUAGAUUAUGGAGUUGAAGUGUUUCGACUGUCGGUAAGUAUGAUAUGUAUGUACCUUUUCUCUAUAGUAGUUUUGUGUAUCUCUUCGUGUGCAAAUAAGGUGAUCUUAGUGGUUCAACAAUUUGCAUUUUAACUGGUUCUGUGAAAUUGCUAGGAGAAGUGUGAAGUAUUAUUGUAUUGGAAUUGAGUUAUUUUGGAUUAAUUGGUUGUGCGCUAUUAUCCCGUUUAGGUGAAGAUUUGGAAUCGAUUAAUCCGUUGGUGA
rnacentral:lncRNA from 1 species